rnacentral:rRNA from 1 species
GAUGAACGCUAGCGGGAGGCUUAACACAUGCAAGUCGAGGGGCAGCACGGGGUAGCAAUACUCUGGUGGCGACCGGCAAACGGGUGAGUAACGCGUAUGUAACCUACCCUGUACAGGGGGAUAACCCGGAGAAAUUCGGACUAAUAUCCCAUAACAAUAUCUGGAGGCAUCUUUGGAUAUUUAAAGUUCUGGCGGUACGGGAUGGGCGUGCGUAACAUUAGCUAGUUGGUAAGGUAACGGCCUACCAAGGCUUUGAUGUUUAGGGGUCCUGAGAGGGUGGUCCCCACACUGGUACUGAGACACGGACCAGACUCCUACGGGAGGCAGCAGUGAGGAAUAUUGGUCAAUGGGCGCAAGCCUGAACCAGCCAUCCCGCGUGCAGGAAGACGGCCCUAUGGGUUGUAAACUGCUUUUCCAGGGAGAGAAACUUGCGCACGUGUUGCGCAAUUGACGGUACCCUGGGAAUAAGCAUCGGCUAACUCCGUG